rnacentral:rRNA from 1 species
UAGGGAAUCUUCGGCAAUGGACGAAAGUCUGACCGAGCAACGCCGCGUGAGUGAAGAAGGUUUUCGGAUCGUAAAACUCUGUUGUUAGAGAAGAACAAGGACGUUAGUAACUGAACGUCCCCUGACGGUAUCUAACCAGAAAGCCACGGCUAACUACGUGCCAGCAGCCGCGGUAAUACGUAGGUGGCAAGCGUUGUCCGGAUUUAUUGGGCGUAAAGCGAGCGCAGGCGGUUUCUUAAGUCUGAUGUGAAAGCCCCCGGCUCAACCGGGGAGGGUCAUUGGAAACUGGGAGACUUGAGUGCAGAAGAGGAGAGUGGAAUUCCAUGUGUAGCUGUGAAAUGCGUAGAUAUAUGGAGGAACAACAGUGGCGAAGGCGACUCUCUGGUCUGUCACUGACGCUGAGGCUCGAAAGCGUGGGGAGCAAACAGG